UGAACAUGGAGGAAGCUUCUACUGAAGUUGAGAUCUUGAAGGAUGUGACGACUAACAAUUGACCCCCGAAGCUCAAGAAGACGAGCAUCACAAUAUUUAAUUUUGUUUAUUUUCUUUGUUAGCCAUCAAUGAUGAUGUGUUUUUUUUGUAAUAUUUUGGAUAAUUUUUCUUUUUUUAUUGUUGGUAUCAUGUUUAAGCCCCUUAUGUGGGCCUUUUUUUACUGAUAGUAUCAUGUUUAAGCCCCUUUUAGAUAUGCUACUUUUAUUUUGUUAUCCAGUUUCACCCUGAUUGCACGUAUUUUCCUAGGUAUAUCUUCAAAUUAUCCCAACUUGUGUUUUAGCGGCACUCCUCAGAAC
rnacentral:lncRNA from 1 species